CUGUCUAAAGGCUUGGUGAAGAAUCUGCUGAUUAGGACUCUAAUCAGCUUUGAGAGCAGGUAAUUUCUCAGCUAGAGAUCAUCUCCAAACAGGAAAUCAGAUUCAGGAGAUAGCUGCUUUAUGCAGCACAUCAUGGUGGACUAGAGCAAAGCUUGUUGUAAUAAUGAGCAGAGCUGAAAUAAGAAGAUCAUUAUUAAUAUUAUGCAUUAAUUGCUUUAUGCCCCUCCUCCUUCCAGGUGGCUUUCCUACCUCACUUAUCUCUGCAUAAUGCAACAGGAACCGUUCCAGACCCAGUCCUGGCACCCAGGCAGGGGUUUUGGACCCUGUCCCUCCUUCCAGACACCAGAGGACACCCCAGCAUUCCCAGCCUCGGGCGUUUUUUGAGCCUGGCACGGUGCCUGGGAGCGUAGUAAGACACAACAGCACUUAGUGGAGCGGCCUCAAAGGUCACAGCGACACCGGCCCCGGUGCAGCCGGUACCUGCUGGUGAAAGGCGCCAAGCACCGAAGCAGUAAGGUCUGGGAACAGCACCCAGCCCACGGUGCAAAGCUGCAGCCAGCACCCCACACAGCACCCAGCGAUGGGUUUUACGGCCGAUUGCAUGGACAGGGCCCGCAGAGAGGGUGCAGGCUGCUCUGGGAGCGGGGCUGCUGCAGCUCCCUCCACGCCUUUCUGCAAGGAUUAGUGUCUGCUGCGCCGCGCCGGGCGUGCAGCCGUGAGCACACGCGUGCAGGACGUGGUGGGAGCUGCUCUCGCAGAGCGGUGCUUGGGGAUGCUCGGGGGGCAGGGGGGGCUGGCUGGCCGUGGGGUGCAGCGGGGCCGGGAGCAGGCUGUGCUGCUCGGGGAGGUGCGGGGCAGGAGCAGCAGGUAACCCCGGCCCCAGCCACAUUCAGCUCCUCUCUGCGGGGAUCCGGAACCAUUUUCUGUGCGUCUCGCACCCCUGGGCCUUUCCUUGCCAGAGGAAGGGGCCCUCUGUGUCCUGCUUGCACCAGGGCUGCCCAUACCCCGCACCCUGCACCUUUUGUCCAUCCCUCCGGGCUCGGGGGCAUCUCCAGCUGGCUGGACCACUGGGGGGACACAGCUGAGCCCCCCCGCUUUCCCACACCGCUGCCUACAAAGGCUAAACGUGCCGCUGCACGGAGCAUCAGUGCCGACCGUGCCGAUGCUCCUUCAGCAUCCGUGCCGAGGGGUGCUCAGCCGCAUCCUCGCCCAGCAUCCCGGCACGGGGGGGGCCUUUCUCCCUCCGUAACCCUCCGGAGCGGGAGCCCAGCGCCGCGAUUUGUCACCGGGGCCGGCCACGGGAGGGAGGCAGGAGGCGGGGGCGGCCGGGGGGGGGCGCGGCGGCGGCGGCGGCGGCGGCUGCGAGAGGACGGAGCCGGGGGGGAGCUGCCGGGAACGGCGGAGCCGGAGCCGCGGUGCUCGGGGCCGGCAGCAGCCGCAGCCCCGGGGCAUGAGCUCGCCCCCCCGGGGGACCGGGGCGCCCGGCGAAGCGGGCCGGGAGGCGGGCGGCAGGAGCGGCGGAGGAUGCGCCGAGCCCCGCGGAGCCCAGCCCAGCUGCAGCGCGCCCAGCCCGGCCGCACCUCCGAGGNNNNNNNN
ensembl:lncRNA